UUUGUUUCUUUUGUUUUUAGCUUGCUCUAACAUGCAAAUGUCAGCUUAAUUCAUCUUUACUGUGAGCAGGUCAAGGUUGGUGAUCUCAACUCUCUGUGUGAGGUUGCAUGUGGAGUUGUAUGUCCAGCUGUGAGCCCCAAAGCCGUAAGUGCUCUGGAGAGAGUCCAGGGAAGGGCCACUAAGUGAUGAAGGAACACCUCUCCUUUGAGGAGAGGCUGAGAGAGCUGGGACAGCUCAGCCUGGGGAAGAGGAGACUCAGGAGGAUCUCAUCCAUGUCCAUAAAUACCUGAAGACAGGAUAAAAAUUGGACAGAGCCAGGCUCUUGUCAGUCCUGCCCAGUUCCAAGACAAAAGGUAGUGGGCACAGGUGGAAAUAUAGGAGAUUCCCUUUGAACACCAGGAAGCAAUUCUGUGCUGUGUGGAUGAUGGAACAUUGGCACAGGUUACCCACAAAGGCUGUGGAGUCUCCUCCUUGGAGAUCUCCAGAAGCCACCUGGACAUGGCCCUGGGCACCCUGCUUUGGUUUCCCUGCUGGAGCAGAGGUUGGAACAGAUGGAUCCAGAAGUCCCUGCCAACCUUGGUCAGUCUGUGAAUCUGAAAUGAAUAUCAUCUAGCAAAAUUUACCCUAUGUUAAAUUCAGCUUUGGCUCACUUGCCUUUUGACGCAGUUGUGUGUCCCCUUUUCUGGGGAUUCCUCUUUUUCAGUGGCCUUUUUUGUUGAUCUCAGUGACUUCUUACACUUUUCCUAAGUGAAGGAAAUGAGGGAAGUGAGUUUGGUUACAGCUCUCAGAUGCAGCAAGGUUUGACAUAAUCCACAGUGGCAGCGUUCUCAGAGGGAUGCCUUGGAAAACACAUUCUGGACUUCUAAUACAGAAAGGUGACUGCAGCAGUGUUUCAGAGGCAGCAUGUAAAUAGGGAAAAUGAGAACACUGCAGUCAAAAAGCACGGCUGGUGAGUACAGAAUGACUGUGGAAAUAGUUCACGUACUGAGUAGGUGUGACUGCCAUGCAAACACGCUUCUCAGCCAUGGAACUGGGCUCACAUAAAAUCAGUCCCAGCCUUUCAUGAUGCUGCUGGGAUCUUCAGUUUAAGUAGACUCACCAGAAAAACUGUUUCAUUAAUUUGCAAGGGCUCGUAUAACGCUUGUGGCUCCAGAAGAAUUAAGAGAAUUAACUGCAAUGUAAGUCUUUAUUAUACAAUGAGGAGACCUUGCACUUCUCCCAAAGGAGUGUCUUUCAAGGAAGCCCAAAGUAGUUAUAGAUAACAAAGACCUGUCCUAAAUUCUCAUCUACAUAAACUGGAAAAGUAUGGUAUGGUCCAAAAAAAAAUUGCAUAGUUACAUACAUAUCUAUCUGUGCAAAGAAUCUGUAAACCUCUAGAUUUCCAGAAACACUUAAAUGUGCUAUUAAACUUUAAGUGCUUUCAAAAUGAAAGCUCCCAAGCCAGCAGCAUUUUCUGUGAAGGUCUGUCACGUAUUGGCUGCCUCUGAUAAAUCUGGCUCUGCCUACGUGGAGGACUGAGGGGAGAACAAGGAGAAGUGCUGGCCACGUUUUGUUCCCACUUAAACUGGCAUAAUUCCAUGAACUUCAGUAAUGUUGCUUCUCAUUUACUCCUGUGCAAGACUUUGAUUCAACAAAGCACUUACAUAUGUGCUGAAAGCCCUCACUGAGCAACAAAAUCCCCUUACUGAACUGUAAGCGAAGUCAGACGGACCUCACUGUAUCUGCUUGGGUGUUUUGAAGUUAAACGUGCACUUAAAGUCUUUAAUGGUUAAAGGCCUAACAAUGCAAGAGGGGAUUCAGUUCUAUCCCCUAUAAUCUCCUGUAAAACAUUCAUAAUCUUUUUCUUUUUUUCUCUUAACUAUAGUGCCUGAUCUUGUUUGUCUUGUCUUAGCUCUAAAUGCAGUUUGAUCCACAGAAGGCUCCAAGUGCCAUCAGGCUUCAUCAAACCGAGCUGAGGCUGGGAAUACUCUUAACGUGAAAGGUGGAUGAAAUGUCUUCUGAGAGAUCUACAACUCUGGAAACCCUGCCACAGAGAGGAGAAUUAAGAAAUGAAAGCUUGAUCGAUUUGGUUAACCAGGAAACAGAUAAAAAGGAGACGUGAUAAUGUUCUGUGAAACUAAGGAGGAAAAGGAUUUUGGAGGGUAGAUUAGUUUCAGUGUAACAGCAAAAUAUGUGAUAAUGUUUGAGUUCCCAUCAUGGUUUUAGUCCUGUUGGGUCUAAAAAUGUAGUGUAUUCAGAAGGACAACAAAAAAUAGUUAAUAAAGUGGUUAUUGAGCUUUA